GACGAACGCUGGCGGCGUGCUUAACACAUGCAAGUCGAACGGAAAGGCCCUGCUUUUGUGGGGUGCUCGAGUGGCGAACGGGUGAGUAACACGUGAGUAACCUGCCCCUGACUUUGGGAGAACUUCAGGAAAAUGGGGCUAAUACCGGAUAGGAGCUCCUGCUGCAUGGGGGGGGUUGGAAAGUUUCGGCGGUUGGGGAUGGACUCACGGCUUAUCAGCUUGUUGGGGGGGUAGUGGCGUACCAAGGCUGUGACGGGUAGCCGGCCUGAGAGGGUGACCGGCCUCCUUGGGACUGAGAUACGGCCCAGCCUCCUACGGGCGGCAGCGGUGGAGAAUAUUACACAACGGGCGGAAGCCUGAUGCAGCAACGCCGCGUGCGGAAUGCCGGCCUUCGGGUUGUGAACCGCUUUCGCCUGUGACGAAGCGUGAGUGACGGUAAUUGGUAAAGAAGCACCGGCUAACUACGUG
rnacentral:rRNA from 1 species